rnacentral:misc_RNA from 1 species
AACCGCCCUAUGCGGACCUGCUUGCGGGGUGGUGUGGGGGCUGGGGAUUAAAACCCCCGGCUACCCGAU